rnacentral:rRNA from 1 species
AGAGUUUGAUCCUGGCUCAGAACGAACGCUGGCGGCAGGCCUAACACAUGCAAGUCGAACGCGAUCUUCGGAUCGAGUGGCGCACGGGUGAGUAACGCGUGGGAAUCUGCCCUGUGGUACGGAAUAACAUCGGGAAACUGGUGCUAAUACCGUAUAUCCCCUGAGGGGGAAAGAUUUAUCGCCAUGGGAGGAGCCCGCGUAGGAUUAGCUAGUUGGUGAGGUAACGGCUCACCAAGGCGACGAUCCUUAGCUGGUCUGAGAGGAUGAUCACCCACAAUGGAACUGAGACACGGUCCAUACUCCUACGGGAGGCAGCAGUAGGGAAUUUUACGCAAUGGGCGAAAGCCUGACGUAGCGACACCGCGUGAGCGAAGAAGCCUUUUGGGGUGUAAAGCUCUGUCAGCUGGGACGAAAAAAAUGACGGUACCAGCAGAGGAAGCAUCGGCUAACUACGUGCCAGCAGCCGCGGUAAGACGUAGGAUGCGAGCGUUGUCCGGAUUUAUUGGGCGUAAAGAGUUCGUAGGCGGUUUGUUAAGUCUGAUGUUAAAGAUCGGGGCUCAACCCCGGGAGUGCAUUGGAUACUGGCAGACUGGAGUACGGUAGAGGUAAGUGGAAUUUCUGGUGUAGCGGUGAAAUGCGUAGAUAUCAGAAAGAACACCGGUGGCGUAAGCGACUUACUGGGCCGUAACUGACGCUGAGGAACGAAAGCCAGGGGAGCAAAUGGGAUUAGAUACCCCAGUAGUCCUGGCUGUAAACGAUGGAUACUAGGCGUAGUGGGUAUCGACCCCUACUGUGCCGCAGCUAACGCGAUAAGUAUCCCGCCUGAGUAGUACGGCCGCAAGGUUGAAACUCAAAGGAAUUGACGG